UCGGCUACGAACCGAGCGGUCGGAGGUUCGAAUCCUCCCGGAUGCACCA
rnacentral:tRNA from 1 species